ensembl:lncRNA
UAUGAAUUUAUCCAUGUGUGCAAUAUUUCUAUUAUCUGCAUUAUAUUAUUAGUAAAUAUAUAUUAUAUAUUAUCCAUAUUAUAUCUAUUAUAUUAUUUAUGGUUUAGGCAUUGUCUUGGGUACUGGAGACUCAAUAGUGAACCUAAAAGAUAAAUCCUUUCCCUUGUAGACUUCAGACUACUUGCAAGACAAGAUAAACUAUAUAGGGCAUGAACUGGUAUGUUCAAUGGAGAAAGAUCAGAGAAAGGGGAUGAAUAGUGGAGUGUGGAUGGUGAUUGUAGUCUUUAAAAGGUGGCAAGGAAAGGCCUUCUAAGAAGACAUGUGGAAGAUAGCCAUGCAGCCACCAGGGAAGAGGCUUCCAGAUGAUGCUGAGGCCGUGAGUAGUUCUGGAGAUUAGAAGUGUAAAAUCAGUUUCACUGAGCCAGAAUCAAGGAAGAAUUGACCCCCUAGACACACUUUGCCUCCCUUUAUGCCCCUUGUGAUUACAAGUAUAACUCACCCGAGCAACUCAGAACAUUCUGCUCAACCUCAAGAUCCUUAACAUAAUCACACCUACAAAGUCUCCCUCCACAUUUAAGGUAAGCUUCAAAGGUUCAGCGACGAGGACCUGGCUAUCUCGGGGCUGUUUCUUCAGCAUUUCGGAGUCCUAACCAUCUGUUAACUGAGCACAGCUCCGCGGCUCGGGCUUGGGUUUGGCUGGUUCUGAGGAAGACUCUUGAAUGACAGGACUUGCCCAGAGAUAUUCAAGCCACAGAUCUUACUUUUUUCUUACCCUUCUCCUUCCCAGGAAAAGGAGGAACUGACAGCAUUUGAGACCGGAGAGGCCGAGGCACUGAGUGCUAGGUGGCACAAGGGGCAAGACUAGAAUUCAAGGCCUCUGAUGCCCAAGACUUCCCAACAUUGUCUUCUCCCGCGUUCCCUCCAGGACCACCGCCUCCUUCUGGGCGGGGUCUUGGGCUGCUGUCUGCGCUGAGUGUCCAGCUCUCUCCUUGGGUCGCACUCACGAUCUUCCCGCAGAGACGGCCACACUGCGAUCUUGCAUGCAGCCAGCAGGGGUCAGCAUUGCCCGCACCAAGGGUCGUCCAGCUGCGGCGGGCGAGAGCCUGAGCUCAGCGACGUUUCU